rnacentral:rRNA from 1 species
GACGAACGCUGGCGGCGUGCUUAACACAUGCAAGUCGAACGGAAAGGCCCUGCUUGCAGGGUGCUCGAGUGGCGAACGGGUGAGUAACACGUGGGUGAUCUGCCCCUUACUUUGGGAUAGGCCUGGGAAACUGGGUCUAAUACUGGAUAGGACCAUGCUGUAGGUGGUGUGGUGGAAAGAUUAGUUUCGGUAAGGGAUGAGCUCGCGGCCUAUCAGCUUGUUGGUGGGGUAGUGGCCUACCAAGGCGUCGACGGGUAGCCGGCCUGAGAGGGUGGACGGCCACAUCAGGACUGUGAUACGGCCCAGAGUACUACGGGAGGCAGCAUUGGGGAAUAUUGCACAAUGGGAGGAAGCCUGAUGCAGCGACGCCGCGGGGGGGAUGACGGCCUUCGGGUUGGAAACUCCUUUCAGCCAUGACGAAGCCCUUGUGGUGACGGUAGUGGUAGAAGAAGCACCGGCUAACUACGUG